AGGACGAACGCUGGCGGCGUGCUUAACACAUGCAAGUCGAGCGGAAAGGCCCUUCGGGGUACUCGAGCGGCGAACGGGUGAGUAACACGUGAGUAAUCUGCCCUAGCUCUGGGAUAGCUCCGGGAAACCGGGAUUAAUACUGGAUACGACCACCUUAGACAUCUUUUGUGGUGGAAAGAAUUUCGGCUAGGGAUGAGCUCGCGGCCUAUCAGCUUGUUGGUGGGUAACGGCCUACCAAGGCGACGACGGGUA
rnacentral:rRNA from 1 species